UACAGAGGUCUCAAGCGUUGUUCGGAUUCAUUGGGCGUAAGGGCGCGUAGGCGGACGACCAAGUCGGGGGUGAAAUCUUUCGGCUCAACCGGAAAAUAGCCUUCGAUACUGGCCGUCUGGAGGGAGGUAGGGGCGUGUGGAACUUCCGGUGGAGCGGUGAAAUGCGUAGAUAUCUGGAGGAACACCGGUGGCGAAGGCGGCAUCCUGGACCGACACUGACGCUGAGGAGCGAAAGCCAGGGGAGCAAACGGG
rnacentral:rRNA from 1 species